rnacentral:rRNA from 1 species
CCUACGGGAGGCAGCAGUGGGGAAUCUUGCGCAAUGGACGAAAGUCUGACGCAGCCACGCCGCGUGAGUGAAGAAGGCCUUCGGGUUGUAAAGCUCUGUCGGAGGGGACAAAAACGUUUAGGGUUAAUAGCCCUAGAUCUUGAUGGUACCCUCAAAGGAAGCACCGGCUAACUUCGUGCCAGCAGCCGCGGUAAUACGAAGGGUGCAAGCGUUGCUCGGAAUUAUUGGGCGUAAAGGGUAGGUAGGUGGUUACGUAUGUCUGAGGUGAAAGCCCCGAGCUUAACUUGGGAAGUGCCUUGGAAACGGCGUAACUAGAGUAUUGGAGAGGUUUGUAGAAUUCCCGGUGUAGCGGUGAAAUGCGUAGAGAUCGGGAGGAAUAUCAGAGGCGAAGGCGACAAACUGGACAAUUACUGACACUAAACUACGAAAGCGUAGGGGAGCAAACAGGAUUAGAUACCCUGGUAGUCCACGCUGUAAACGAUGGGUACUAGAGUUCGGGGAUUGACCCUCGGACUCGGAGCUAACGCGAUAAGUACCCCGCCUGGGAAGUACGGUCGCAAGCUAAACUAAUGAAUUGNGNGNGNGANGCGAGNGANAGAGGAGNG